GACUUCGUAUGAAAUCUACUCUACAAAGAUAUGUUAGUUUUGUGGUUGACUAGAUUGUUAAAAUAUUGAUCAAAAACCAUUUAAAGUGUAGACUACAUAAAAUGUCUACUGAUCUUAGGAAAAAACGUAGACUACAUAUAAAAUCUCUUAUUUUAUUUUGGCCAGACACAAAAGUAAUUUAAUUUAAAAAUAUUAUAAUUUUUGUAAUAUUUAACAUUAGUAGACUACACCCUAAAAGCGAAGUCUACUAUAGCUAAAUAAAGUAGAAUUCAUAGUCUACUAAACCCU
rnacentral:lncRNA from 1 species